AGUUUGAUGACAUUCAAAUAUGCUCUGCAUUAGCUUCCGCUGCACAUAAUCACACACAGUUUAAAUUGGCUAUGGACUAGUAGGUUUAAGAAAAAACAAUUGAAAUGUAUUCAUUAAAUUGAUUGGCAAAGGCUGUUCUCACAGUAAAAACGGAAUGUGUGUGCAUUGGUAGGUAUUGUUAGUAUAGACUGUGUUUGCAGGUUGGAUUUCUUGCGACGGGUAAAAGGUGACAGGUGAACAAAUCGUAGGCCUGGAGCUGCUAGAAACAGCCUCUCUCUGUAAACGUCACCAUCUCCAGUACCAUCUGCUGUCAGUCGGCUACCACACUGACACACAAAGGUACCAGCUUCCAACCAGCAACCGUGACUAACUCCUAACAAUAGAAUUCAAAUCGCAGACUGCUUAAUCCACAGGAUCGAGGUUUGCACAGAUAACUGACAGGGUCAUCUACACUUCGCUUUGCUAAACAUUCGCCUCUCUCCUCCUGUGUAAGAAACUAUUCGCAAUGAUCAGUAAUGGAAAGUUGAAGUGAUUAUGUCUGCUUGAAUUUAGAGACCCGGCUGGAGAGGAGAGAAAGGGGAUGUCAGCAUUGACAGACAGAAGAGAUACCACAAUUCACUCCAAGGAUGGAUCCCAAGACGUGAGGAAUGCGGGUUAUGGGAACUCUACAUGACAAUGUACAGUGCUCCGUGAGCUCAAUAUCACACGUAAAUACAAAAUGAAGAACCGGUAUAAGUCAUAAAUCAUUUUCCUAUUACCCCUAGCGUGUAGUUCAGUAUAUAUUGUGUUAGCUAGGACGAGCUGGCUUUGAAUUUGUCAUGAGCGGAAGAUUCCAGGUCAUUUAAAUUCCACUUGUUCAUGCUUUGAAUUGGCUGAUGUCUAUGAUACAGUUCAGUGAGUUUACAAUAAGUGAUCAGUGUCUCCCUCACUUUCUGAACGGACCUAUACAUAGUUCCCUUUCACUAUGAAAAUCAGAUUAAACCGUUCACAGAGUCGGUUGUUUCUUUUUUUUCAAAAAAAGCUCAGAACGGACAGCUCCGGUUUUGGAAUUUCAGUUUUCCCAGUGUUGUGAGGAACUUGAUUCUGGGUGUUGAAUUCUCGCCCUGGGCCAGCUCAGCCCGAGUUUUCCAGCGCUUUCCCACUUCAGCCGCCCAGGCAUAAAGCGACAACACUGUAAGAACCCUUCCUCUGCAAAAUAGUUCCUGUUUGUUUUUCUACAACAUUUUCUUUUUAAAAUCUUCCAGGCAGAGCAUAUUUUCCUAUUAAAACUGUUUGAUUAUAAUCACAUACCACAUAUAUUUCGUUCCUGACUCGAUUAAUAUCUAUUAAUUAGAAAAUGCAGCUUGUUGAGAUGGCUGUCAGUGCUAUUUCAUUUUCUUGCAUCAUUCCUCCAGACAGUUACGAAGAUGUGAGUAUCCAAAUACGAUAUAACCCUACCCCUGUGCGCGCGCGCGUGUGUUUGUGAUUCACUGGGGACAAUAUCUGACUGGAUUGAAAUAUCCUGCUACCCCUCCCCCUCUCUGUGGUUAACAGUCCAAAAUUAUCAUACGCCAGGAUAAUAAUAAAAAAAACGCCCAGUCUGAUUUAAUUAGAUGAGAACGUUAUGAUCUGGAUAGCAACGAUUUGUCCUAACUAGGUAACUUGAUCAAUCAUGGAGCCCCAUGAACAAGUCAAAAAGAGCGCCGCAUUUACAACUAAAACGGCGCUUUGAAAAAAAAUUCGUGUAACUAUUUGUGAAAUGCAGGAGAUUCGCAAUUCCCGAUAUUUGCAGCAAGAUAUAACUAGGAUCCGAACUGUGUGAUCCACCGCAUUGCCAGCACUCGCUGAUAAAUUCAACCGCUACAGACUACACUCCU